UACGUAGGGUGCAAGCGUUGUCCGGAAUCAUUGGGCGUAAAGCGCGCGUAGGCGGCCCGAUAAGUCCGCUGUAAAAGUCAACGGCUCAACUGUUGAAAGCCGGUGGAUACUGUCGGGCUAGAGUACGGAAGAGGCAAGUGGAAUUCCUGGUGUAGCGGUGGAAUGCGCAGAUAUCAGGAGGAACACCGGUGGCGAAGGCGGCAUCCUGGACCGGCAUUGACGCUGAGGCGCGAAAGCUAGGGGAGCAAACGGG
rnacentral:rRNA from 1 species